rnacentral:rRNA from 1 species
GACGGGGGAUGCAAGUGUUAUCCGGAAUCACUGGGCGUAAAGCGUCUGCAGGUGGUUUCCUAAGUCCACUGUUAAACCUUGAGGCUCAACCUCAAAUCUGCAUUGGAAACUAGGAGACUUGAGUAUAGUAGGGGUAGAGGGAAUUUCCAGUGGAGCGGUGAAAUGCGUAGAUAUUGGAAAGAACACCGAUGGCGAAGGCACUCUACUGGGCUAGUACUGACACUCAGAGACGAAAGCUAGGGGAGCAAAUGGG